GACAGAGGGUGCAAACGUUGUUCGGAAUUACUGGGCGUAAAGCGAGUGUAGGCGGUCUCGUAAGUCGGGUGUGAAAGCCCUGGGCUCAACCCAGGAAGUGCACUCGAAACUGCGAGGCUAGAGUACUGGAGAGGUUGGUGGAACUCCUAGUGUAGAGGUGGAAUUCGUAGAUAUUAGGAAGAACACCAGUGGCGAAGGCGGCUUACUGGUCCGGAACUGACGCUGAGGUGCGAAAGCGUGGGGAGCAAACAGG
rnacentral:rRNA from 1 species